rnacentral:lncRNA from 1 species
GUUCAGCACAGCCUCGGUGUCCGGCUGCUGCAGUCGGAGCCCGUCUGCCGACCCAGGCGGCGGGAAGCUCUUGAGGAAGCUCAUCGCCGGCGAAAGCAUCGCCCCACGCGAACCGAGAGAAGUCGUAGCAGCAAACCCCGAGAGAGGAUGUAUAAGGAAUACCAAGCCUUUCCCAGCAAAAAGCGGGAAGGGGCCCAGGCCCCGGGAGUCCCUCACUGAAGGACGACUCACAGAAAUAAAAUCCACACGCAUCUGGAGAUCAGCAGUCUCCGGGCUGGGUGCACGAGUCUUCCCUGCUUCCGCCUCGUCAGGCCUGUUCACCUUGGGUUCACACAGCCAUUUACCAGACCUUUUAGUCCCCACGUCGCCGGAGAGACCUUUUAGUCCCCACGUCGCCGGAGAGAUCGAGCGUCCCAUCCCCACGAGUCACGCCGCGAGCACAAAAGGUUACAUUAAUGAUGGGCAGUGCGCAGCAAGACAGUCAAAAGACUGUCCGAGGGAAAGGUAGGCCACUGGUUAGGAACCCUUGCUGUCUCUGCUCGCAAGGUCCCAGCGAAUAAGAGCAGUGAAAACCUACAGGUUUGGUGAAUAGAAACCCAUAACAGAGACCUAUAGACCACACAGCAUAAGGACUUUACCUCUUUUCUUCAUGGAUUCAUUCCUUCAUGGUUUUUGAGACAGGGCUUCUUUAUGUAGCCUAGGCUGGCUUCCAAUACAUAAUCGAUUUGCACCG